rfam:Loxodonta africana unplaced genomic scaffold scaffold_143, whole genome shotgun sequence.
GCCUGAGUAGCUCAGUUAGUAGAGCAUCAGACUUUUACCUGAGGGUCCUGUGUUCAAGUCCCUGUGCAGGCA